rnacentral:rRNA from 1 species
GACGUAGGGGGCCAGCGUUGCUCGGAAUUACUGGGCGUAAAGGGUCCGUAGGCGGUGCGGUAAGUCGGGAGUGAAAUCUCUGGGCUUAACUCAGAGGCUGCUUCCGAAACUACCGUGCUAGAGUGCGAGAGAGGCAAGUGGAAUUGCGGGUGUAGCGGUGAAAUGCGUAGAUAUCCGCAGGAACAUCCGAGGCGAAAGCGGCUUGCUGGAUCGCAACUGACGCUGAGGGACGAAAGCUAGGGGAGCAAACGGG